AUCUUUGUGCAGUGGCAGUAACAUAGUCCAUGAGGUUUAUCUGAGGCGUGAUUAUUGCAAGUUAAAAACUUUACCCAAACACUGCCUUGAUGACAUGAAAUAGAGUCAGCUAUGGCAAUUUUUGAUAGUCUCUAUUGAGA